UUUUACUACUCUCAAUUCUCUCUCUCUCUCAUUUUUACACAGUUACAAAUCCGCCAUUGUUGUAACCUUCUCAAGCUCAAAAUUUCACAAGUUUCACCAUGGAUGAUGAUCGAGUUUUUUGCUGCUCUUGUCACCAGUCGUUUCCAUCUUUUAACAAUGCGAAAGCUUUACGUGUUCAUAACAAAGCUGUGCAUAGACAUUUCCGCUACGAAUGUAGCAUUUGUAAUAAUGUGUUUCUUACUGACGCUAUCCUUCAAAUGCACAAGCAAGAUUCUCACCGACCUCCACCUCCACCUCCACCUCCAGCCCAGCAACAACAAGACCAAGCAGGCCAACCACAAGCUGAUCCAGCCCAAGAUCAACAACAAGUGAACCCAUAAGAAGCAGAAGAAGCAGAAGAAGAAGAAGGUCUAAUAGGUUGAGUUUGUGUUGAAGUUCAAUGAAGUUUGAGUUUGUCAUAGUUAAAUGCGUAAAAAUAAAGAAAGCAGCAUUGGCCGGCUCAAGUGAAGUUUUUCUGGCACGAGUGAAAUUUCUUUUGAGUUUCUAGGUCAUUACUGUUUAGAAUUGAUUAGGAGAAUGUGUUCCUUUAUUUCUGCUUUAUGAAUUGGUGUUUGUAAUG